AAUGUCAUCUUUAUCUAAACAAUCGAGCACUUCUCUCGGACCUUGAUGGAACCUGAAGCAGCGACCGUGAACCUCUCCGAAGUGAUCGCGGUGGGCGACUACGUCCUGUCGUCGAAGCUCGGUGAAGGGUCUUUCUCGACGGUGUGGAAGGCGGUGCGCAGAGCCGGCGGCGAGGUGGUGGCGGUGAAGCAAGUCCACCUCUCGAAGCUUAAUGGGCAUCUCAGGAGCUGCUUGGACUGCGAGCUCGAUUUCCUGUCCUCCGUCGAUCAUCCCAACAUCAUUCGCCUUCUUCAUGUGUUUCAGGCCAAUGGUUGCGUAUACAUGGUCCUGGAGUUUUGUGCCGGUGGAGAUUUAGCGUCUUAUGUCCGACUGCAUGGGCCAGUUCGGGAAGAAAGCGCGAGAAGAUUCAUGCAGCAGCUGGGAGCUGCCUUGGAAAUACUGCACUCCUACCACAUAGUUCAUAGGGACUUGAAACCGCAGAACAUCUUGCUAUCUGGUUCUGAAGAGGAUAAAGUGCUCAAGGUAGCUGAUUUUGGUCUCUCAAGAACUUUACAACCCGGUUAUUCUGCUGAUACUGUAUGUGGGUCUCCAUUAUACAUGGCCCCUGAAGUUCUUCUAUUCAAAAAGUAUGAUGAAAAGGUGGAUAUGUGGAGUAUCGGUGCCAUUCUUUUUGAGCUUCUCAAUGGUUGUCCACCAUUUUGUGGGCGGACUAAUGUUCAGCUUCUGCGGAGCAUCAAGUCAUCUAAAAGUCUUCCAUUUUCUCACCAUGUGCUUCCUGAAUUGCAUCCUGACUGCAUUGACAUGUGUUCCAGGCUUCUCUCUGUUAAUCCAGUGAACCGCCUGUCCUUUGAAGAGUUUUACCGGCACAGAUUUUUGAGAAAAAGAUCGAUUGUGUAAAAAAUAAAAGCUGUGUUUCAGUGGUAGUACUACCAAUUUUCACUCAUGGUGAUAUCCCAUGUUGGAGAAUUAGUGGAUCCUUGGCAUGCAAUGGCUCCUGUACAAUCACUGAAGUACUGAUGGUUGGGAGAUUUGGAAUCUUUUGUAGCCAAAUCUGUUAUUUCAUCACAUGUUGUAAAGGUGAUUGAAUGUCAAUAUCAAUGUUUAUAAUUGUUAUAGAACUAGCCAUAAGGCCUGUGCUAUGCACGGCAGAGAAACUACAUUUUUCGAUUGAAGUGCAUAACAGAUUUUUUUGAAA